AACCACUGGGAAGCGUUCACGCGCUUGUCCAAAGAACAGUAGGGCCGAGUUCCAAACGCUGUCACAGUGACUUGCUGCGACCGCGGUGUGAGUGGGCGCUAAAAUGCCAAUGAUGGAAUGUGCACUGUGCAAAUUAUAGACUUGUUCCUUUACUUAGGUUUUGCGACAGGUCAGCACUGAACCGGCUCUUAAAGACCCUGGUAGACAGAAGCCUGGCUCUGUCUACAGUGAAAGCUUACGCUGCUGCCAUUUCAUCCUGCCAUGGGGGUUUUGGUGAGACAUCUGUGUUCGCGCACCCACUGGUUAAACGCUUCCUGAGAGGAGUGGGCAGACAGCGGCCGGUUCAGUGACACAACAGUGAGAUCUGCCUCUGGUUUAACGCGUGGUCGGGGGAACCCCCCCCCUCUUCAAGCCCAUAGCACAGACGUCUCUCAAACACCUUUCACUGAAGUUUGUUGUAAUGUACAUACUGUAGCUUGCAGGUAUAAAGGUGCAGUGACUGGAAUAUU